rnacentral:misc_RNA from 1 species
ACAUGUCCCCUCCUUGAUGACAGCAACCAUGCAGUUGCAAUCAGAAAGGCAUAAUCUCCUGCAAUCAUCUUCAUUUAGCCCUUGUAAUUGUUCAUAGUUUGCAGAAACUGGCCAAUAAGCAUUUGGUAGCUCCUGCAUUACAUACAAAUCCUCAGGUUUUGUAUUGUCUUGUUGACAAUUUGGAAUUCUAUUUUGCUUGCAGCCAUUCAAUUUAUUGUU